rnacentral:rRNA from 1 species
CCUACGGGUGGCAGCAGUGGGGAAUAUUGCGCAAUGGGCGAAAGCCUGACGCAGCGACGCCGCGUGAGGGAUGAAGGUCUUCGGAGCGGAAACCUCUGUCAGCAGGGAAGAACGGUCACUGUGCUAAUCAGCCGUGAAUUGACGGUACCUGCAAAGGAAGCACCGGCUAACUCCGUGCCAGCAGCUGCGGUAAUACAGAGGGUGCGAGCGUUAAUCGGAAUUACUGGGAGUAAAGCGCUCGUAGGCGGUAUGUCAAGUCAAGGGUGAAAUCCCCGCGCUCAACGUGGGAACUGACUUUGAAACUGGCAAACUGGAGUGUGUGAGAGGAUAGUGGAAUGCCAGGUGUAGGAGUGAAAUGCGUAGAUAGCUGGAGGAACAUCAGUGGCGAAGGCGACUAUCUGGCACAUAACUGACGCUGAGGAGCGAAAGCGUGGGUAGCAAACAGGAUUAGAUACCCCAGUAGUC